rnacentral:lncRNA from 1 species
CAUUAUCACAACUGCAGGUGAUAUGAAAAUAGCAGUUCUGAAGGGAGUUGAGGCCAAAGGUCUCUGAAAUGUUAUCUAAGGGCUGAGUUGACCCCUCUUCCAUAGUGUUGGCUGCUAUGCAGGUGCUGUACACUGAGUUGAAAGUUCUACAGACUUAAAAAAAUCAGGAAUGGAAUUAGGAAAAUCAUCUAAUGCUAAAAAGAAGCCAAGAUUGGGACCUGCCAGGAAAGAAGUAUUUCUAGGCAGCGCUAUAUCUAUGACUGGGCAGGAGCUUUAUCCAAACAACCAAUAAGGUCAGCCUGCCUCCCCCCACCUCUUUUGACAGCAAACAUUCAGGAAGGCUCUCAGGAAAUCUGCUGCAGACAGAACAAAAAUUAGGAUAUCCACCCUACUGAUUGCAGCUUGUGAGAACACUAAUGUGCCCAGCAGAAAUGGGACCCCUUCCCUAUGCAUGAAAGACAUCUCUCUUUCAGUCUGCACCUCUGUGCAAGCAGAUAAGCCUGGCUUCCAUUGACCUUCAACACCACACAGUGUAGAGAACUCAAUAGAGAUCUACUGCACCCAGGGUAUCAGUCUGCAGGGCUCCCAGGAAAUGUGCUGAAACCAGGGUAAUAGUCUAUAAAUCUCCCAGGAGAUUGGCUGCACCCAGGAACACAGAUCACCCAGGAGAUCUGCAGCAACUGAAAAACACUGGAGGCAGGCUCCACACAGAGUCACCCAGGACAGCUAACACCAGAGAUAACCAGAUAGUGAGAGGCAAACACAAGAUCCUAAGCAGCAGAAGCCGAUAUAUUUUAACACCAUCAAAAUCCAGCUCUCCCACCACAGGGAGUCAUGAGCUUCCCAACAUAUGUGAAUAGCAUGAUACUGACCUACAUUCCUAUCUGAAGAACAUUAUAGAAACCUUUAAAAAUAUGAGUAAUUCAUAGAGUUAGAAAGAGCAAUUUGGAAAUUGAUUUGGAACAAAAAAAUCCAGGAUAGAAAUAAUUUACUCAACAAGAAAAGAACUUCUGGGGAAAUCACCAUCCCUGAUCUCAAGCUGUAUUACAGAGCAAUCAUGAUUAAAACUGCAUGGUAUUAUUACAGAGAAGGCAGAAAGAUCAGUAGAAUAGAACUAAAGACCAAGAAAGUAACCCAUAGACCUGUGGUCACUUGAUCUUUGACAAAGAAGCUAAAACUACCAAACAAAAAAAGGACAGCACUUUCAACAAAUGAGGCAGGUUCAACUGGCAGUCAGCAUCUAGAAGAAUGCAAAUGGAUACAUUCUUAUCUCUCUAUACAAAACUAAAGUCCAAGUAGAUCAAGGACCUGCACAUAAUACCAGAUACACUGAAACUAUUAAAAGAAAUAGUGGGGAAGAGUCCAAAUUCUUGGGCAAAGGAAAAAAUUCACUGAACAGAACACCAAUGACUUAUGCUCUAAGAUCAAGAAUCCAUAAAUGGGACCUCAUAAAUUGCAAUAUCCUUGUCAUCAGGGACAGGCAAAUCAAAAGAAACCUGAAUUCCACCUCACACCAGAAAGAAUGGCUAAGAUCAAAACUAAAGUGACAUCAGAUUCUGGCGAGGAUGUGGAGAAAGAGGAACACUCCUCCAUUUUUGGUGAAAUUGCAAGUUGGUACAACCACUCAGGAAAUUAUUCUGGCAGUUCCUCAGAAAAUUGGACAUAGUACUACCUAAGGAGCCAGUUAUACCACUCCUGCGCAUAUACCCAAAAGAGGCUCCAACAUUUAAAAAGUACAUAUGCUCCCCUAUGUUCAGAGAAGCCUUAUUUAUAAUGGCCAGAUACUCUGAAUCUAAGAGAAGAGAAAGUGGGGAAGAGCCUCAAACUCAUUGAUACAGGGGGAAAUUUUCUAAACAGAACUCCAGUAGCUCAGGCUCUAAGAUCAACAAAAGAUAAUUGGUAACUCAUGAAACUGUAAAGAAUCUAUAAUUCAAAAGACACAGUUACUUGGACAAAUCAGCAAUGUACAGAUUGGGGGAAACUCUUCACUAAACUCUCCACAUCCAAAAGUAGGUUAAUAUCCAAAAUAUAUAAAAAACUCAAGAAGCUAACCUCCAGAAAACCAAAAAUCACAAAUAAUGUGGUGCAAAAAUAGAGAAUUUGAAACUGAAGAAUCUCAAUGGCAAAGAAGCACCUAAAGAAAUAUUCAAUAUCCUUAGUCACCAGGGAAAUGCAAAUCAAAAUGACCCUGAGAUUACACCUUACACCAAUCAGAAAAACUCAGGCAAUAUUAGAUUCCCUAUUGCUGCUGGUUAGCAAACUGGUUCUACCACUUUGACAAUCUGUCUUGUGGUUGGUCAGAGAAUUGGACAUAGUUUUACUUGAAGACCCAUCUAAACCAACAUUACUGGACAUAUUCCCAAAAUAAGGUCCAAUAUUUAACAAAGACACAUGACACACUAUGUUCAUUGCAGCCUUUUUUCUAAUAACCAGAAGCUGGAAACAACCCACAUGUCCCUCAACAGAAGAAUGGAUAGAAAAAAUGUGGUACAUUUACACAAUGGAAUUCUACUCAGAUUUAAAAGGACAACUUCGCAAAUUUUUCAGGCAAAUUGAUGGAAGUAGAAAAUAUCAUCCAGAGUGAGGUAAUGCAGACCGAAAAGAUAUACUUGACAUGUAAUUACUGAUAAGUGUACAUUAGCUCAAAUCCUCAGAAUACCUAUGUUGUAACUCACAGACCUUAUGAAACUUAGAAAGAAGAAAGGCCAAAGUGUGGAUGUUUCAGUCCUAUGUAGAAGGGGGAACAAAAUAAUCGUGUGAGGCAGAGGGCGGGAGGAUCUUGAGUGAAAGAAGACAGGGCAGAAAAAUGAGGAGGGGGUGGAGACAGGGUCAGGUAUGGGAAGAGACUGGCGAGAAAUCCAGAGGGUGAGGAGGAUGAAUAGAAGUAAGUAGCAGAGAGAGUGGGGAACACAGAGAAGGGGCAACCACUAGAAAUUCCCAGAUGCCAGGGAUGUGAGGGGCUUCCAGGACCCA